UACAGAGGGUGCAAGCGUUAAUCGGAGUUACUGGGCGUAAAGCGCUUGUAGGCGGUCCACCAAGUUUGGGGUGACAGUUGCCGACUUAAUCGGCAAAGUGCCUCAAAGACUGGCGGACUUGAGGGCCACAGAGGGACAUGGAACUCCAGGUGUAGUGGUGAAAUGCGUAGAUAUCUGGAAGAACACCAAAGGCGAAGGCAGUGUCCUGGGUGGUCGCUGACGCUGAGAGGCGAAAGCCAGGGGAGCGAACGGG
rnacentral:rRNA from 1 species